rnacentral:lncRNA from 1 species
GCAAGCAAGGAAAAUCAUAUUCAAUGUAAUGUCAAGAUAAUCUAUCUGAAACUGAUGCUCUAUCUUACCUUGCUCUACUAUGCCUUGGAAAGGUAAGAAUCAUCAGUGGCUGAUCAUCCCUCAAAGACAAACAACUAGACAAGAUGUGGCUCCUGAUGGAAGAACGCAGGCCACCACCUACAAAGCACCCUGGCUGCCUCCCUCCCCCAGGAAACAAGGCAUGAAGAGAAAACCAACCUCUCCUUUCUGGUUGAUGAUGGGAACAGCGUAUUGUAACUUCACAUCAUAGAAAAGUG